rnacentral:lncRNA from 1 species
AUGGGCGUCCUGGAGCUGGGGAACAUCACCGCCCGAAAGCUGAGCGGGGGCGAGAUGAGGAGGCAGCACGGCAGUGCGACAGGUACGAGAGGCAGCCCCCCCCAAAAAAAAUUUGGGGGGCAGACGAGGUGUGGUACUAAGCCAGGUAGCAGACCUGAGCUCACUCCUCGUGCUUAUGAUAAGCAGCGCAUUACUGGUCAGGCACCGUGUUAUGCGGUUAAGCGCACGGUGUCGCCAGUGCGUGUCCAUAGCCCGGUGCGCUAUAGGGCAGCCCCCCGAAAGUGCCAUGCGAGUGUAGGCAUUGAGCCAGGGCGUAUGGUGCCUGCUCAGCGGGUCUGGUCGCCGGUACGCAGUUUUGGUCCAGGUUAUCCUGCGCCGGCUCUGCGUGCUGUGUCUCCGGGGCGCUGGGAGGGUGCAGUGCGUCCUCUGCCUGCGCUCCGCUCGUGCCGGGCAAAUGUGGGAGUGGAGCCUAGGGGAGAGGUGCGUGUAAUGAGCACUAGAUCUCCCGUGCUUAUCCACAGCCCGGUUCAACCUGUGCCUGCACUCUGGAGGGUCCGGGCUAGAGUAGUUGUCCAGCCUGGGGAAGUGGUGCCAAGGUUGCGCACCAGAGCUCCAGUGCUCCCCCACAGCCCGGUCCUUCAGGUGCCUCCUCCUAACACCAAGCCCCCUGAAGGUCUCCCCAGCCUGGUGGUUCCUGUGGCAGCCCCACGCACCAGGCUGUCUCUCCGUCUCCUCCCUGCAGGUGGUCCCGCCUGUCCGGCGCCGCUGCCGGAGCCUCCCGCCUGUCCGGCGCCGCUGCCGGAGCCUCCCGCCUGUCCGGAGCCUCCCGCCUGUCCGGCGCUGCUGCCGGAGUCUCCCGCCUGUCCGGCGCCGCUGCCGGAGCCUCCCGCCUGUCUGGAGCCUCCCGCCUGUCCGGCGCUGCUGCCAGAGCCUCCCGCCUGUCCGGCGCCACUGCCGGAGCCUCCCGCCUGUCCGGCGCCGCUGCCGGAACCUCCCGCCUGUCCGGAGCCUCCCGCCUGUCCGGAGCCUCCCGCCUGUCUGGCGCCGCUGCCGGAGCCUCCCGCCUGUCCGGAGCCUCCCGCCUGUCCGGCGCUGCUGCCGGAGUCUCCCGCCUGUCCGGCGCUGCUGCCGGAGUCUCCCGCCUGUCCGGCGCUGCUGCCGGAGUCUCCUGCCUGUCCGGCGCCGCUGCCGGAGUCUGAGGCGCCAGAGCCCCUCAGCCCAGAGGCGCCAGAGCUUCUGCCCCUCUGUCCAGAGCUUCUGCCCCUCUGUCCAGAGCUUCUGCCCCUCUGUCCAGAGCUUCUGCCCCUCUGUCCAGAGCUUCUGCCCCUCUGUCCAGAGCUUCUGCCCCUCUGUCCAGAGCUUCUGCCCCUCUGUCCUGAGCUGCCCCUCUGUCCAGUGGGGUCAUUGAGAGGGGUGGCCAUGGUGAGAAAGCCACGGAGGCGGACAAUAAGGCGGACUAAGACAAUGGUGAAGUGGGGUCCGCGUCCUGCGCCAGAGCCGCCACCGCGGACAGACGCCCACCCAGACCCUCCCCUAUAG